rnacentral:rRNA from 1 species
UACGGAGGGUGCAAGCGUUGCUCGGAAUUAUUGGGCGUAAAGGGUAGGUAGGUGGUCUCAUUUGUUUGGGGUGAAAGCCUUGGGCUUAACUCAAGAAGUGCCCCAAAAACGGUGAGACUAGAGUCCUGGAGAGGUAAGUGGAAUUCCCGGUGUAGCGGUGAAAUGCGCAGAUAUCAGGAGGAACACCGGUGGCGAAGGCGGGUCUCUGGGCAACAACUGACGCUGAGGAGCGAAAGCGUGGGGAGCGAACAGG